AGCAAACUUGAACUGAAGAGUUUGAUCCUGGCUCAGAUUGAACGCUGGCGGCAUGCCUAACACAUGCAAGUCGAACGCGAAAGCACCUUCGGGUGCGAGUA
rnacentral:rRNA from 1 species